UACGGAGGGUGCAAGCGUUAAUCGGAAUUACUGGCCGUAAAGCGCGCGUAGAUGGCUUGAUAAGCCGGUUUUGAAGGCCCCGGGCUCAACCUGGGAACGGCAGCCGGAACUGUCAAGCUAGAGUGCAGGAGAGGAAGGUAGAAUUCCCGGUGUAGCGGUGAAAUGCGUAGAGAUCGGGAGGAAUACCAGUCGCGAAGGCGGCCUUCUGGACUGACACUGACACUGAGGUGCGCAAGCGUGGGUAGCCAACAGG
rnacentral:misc_RNA from 1 species